rnacentral:rRNA from 1 species
GAGAGUUGGUUAAGUCAGUACGAGCGAAACCCUAUCCUUAUUUGCCAGCGCAUAAUGGCGGGAACUAUAAGGAGACUGCCGGUCAUAAACCGGAGGAAGGCGGGGACGACGUCAAGUCAUCAUGGCCCUUAUGGGUAGGGCUACACACGUGAUACAAUGGGUGGUACAGAGGGUCGCCAAAGCGCGAGCUGGAGCCGAACCCUUAAAACCAUUCUUAGUCCGGAUUGGAGUCUGCAACUCGACUCCAUGAAGUUGGAAUCGCUAGUAAUCGCGAAUCAGAAUGUCGCGGUGAAUACGUUCUCGGGCCUUGUACACACCGCCCGUCACGUCAUGGAGGUGGGUUGCACCAGAAGUGGCUUGUUUAACCUUCGGGAAAACGGUCACCACGGUGUGAUUCACAACUGGGACGAAGUCGUAACAAGGUAGCCCUAGGGGAACCUGGGGCUGGAUCACCUCCUU